rnacentral:rRNA from 1 species
AGUCGAGCGGAAGGCCCUUCGGGGUACUCGAGCGGCGAACGGGUGAGUAACACGUGAGCAACCUGCCCCUGGCUCUGGAUAGCCUCCGGAAACGGGGAUUAAUACCGGACAUGACCUGCUGCCGCAUGGCGGCGGGUGGAAAGUUUUUCGGCCAGGGUGGGGCUCGCGGCCUAUCAGCUUGUUGGGGGGGGUGACGGCCCACCAAGGCGACGACGGGUAGCCGGCCUGAGAGGGCGACCGGCCACACUGGGACUGAGACACGGCCCAGACUCCUACGGGAGGCAGCAGUGGGGAAUAUUGCGCAAUGGGGGAAACCCUGACGCAGCGACGCCGCGUGCGGGAUGAAGGCCUUCGGGUUGUAAACCGCUUUCACCAGGGACGAAGCGAGAGUGACGGUACCUGGGGAAGAAGCGCCGGCUAACUACGUGCCAGCAGCCGCGGUAAUACGUAGGGCGCGAGCGUUGUCCGGAAUUAUUGGGCGUAAAGAGCUCGUAGGCGGCCGGUUGCGUCUGCUGUGAAAUCCCGGGGCUUAACCCCGGGCGUGCAGUGGAUACGGGCCGGCUGGAGGCAGGCAGGGGAGAAUGGAAUUCCCGGUGUAGCGGUGA